CAUUCUUCUCUCUAUUCUCUUUGUUUAGUAGUUUUACCUUUUCCAAUUUGAAUUCUAAUUCCAAAAUCUAAACACAACUAGAACAUUCCAGAAAUAAAACCCUCUAGCCCCUCAGUCCCUCACUAUAAAAACACUUAUCUUCAUCUUCCCCACGAAAUCAAUUAAAAUCCAAAUAAUAAACCACGCUCGGCAACAAUUUUACUGAUUAAUCAUCGAUGGCUGAUGAAGCUAAAGCCAAAGGCAACGCCGCUUUCGCCGCCGGCAACUAUUCUGACGCGAUCAAGCACUUCUCCGACGCGAUCACCUUGUCUCCGGCCAAUCAUGUUCUCUACUCCAACCGAUCGGCUGCUUACGCUUCGAUUAACAAUUUCUCCGAAGCUUUAGUGGAUGCGAAAAAAACGGUGGAGAUCAAACCGGACUGGGCUAAGGGAUACUCUCGGCUCGGCUCGGCUCAUCUCGGACUCCACAAUUAUGUCGAAGCUAUCGAGGCGUACAAGAAAGGUCUUGAAUUGGAUCCGAAUAAUGAGGCUUUGAAAUCCGGGUUAUCCGACGCGGAGACCCGGGUUAGGACCCGACCCGGUUUUGGCAAUCCGACCCGGCCCGGGGCGAGUCCGUUCGGGGACGCGUUCGGGCCGGAGAUGUGGGCGAAAUUGACGGCGGAUCCGACGACGAGAGCGUUCCUCCAGCAGCCUGAUUUCGUGAACAUGAUGAAAGAGCUUCAGAAGAACCCGAGCAAUUUGAAUUUGUACUUGAAGGAUCCCAGGGUUAUGCAAGCGCUAGGAGUUUUGCUUAAUAUCAAGCUUUCGACACGAGGAAGUGAUGAUAAGGGUGUAGAGAUGUAUGACGUAUCCUCGGAGAGGAAGAGGCCUGCGGAGGAGGAACCGGUGAAUGUGAAGGAGAAGAAGCGCGAGGCGGAGCCAAUGCAGGAGGAGGUGGAGGUUUCAGAGGAGGAGAGGGAGAAAAAGGAGAGGAAGGAGAAGGCGCGGAAGGCGAAAGAGGAGGGUAAUGUGGCGUAUAAGAAGAAGGAUUUCGAGACGGCGAUUAGGUGUUAUAGUGAGGCGAUUGAGUUGGAUGAUGAGGAUAUUUCGUUUGUUACUAAUAGGGCUGCGGUUUAUCUGGAGAUGGGGAAGUUUGAGGAGUGCAUUAAAGAUUGUGACACUGCUGUUGAAAGGGGAAGAGAACUCAGAUCAGACUUCAAGAUGGUUGCAAAGGCUUUGACAAGGAAAGGAACUGCCUUGGUGAAAAUGGCUAAAUGCUCCAAGGACUACGAACCUGCUAUUGAGACAUUUCAGAAAGCUUUGACAGAGCAUCGUAACCCAGAUACUCUAAAAAAACUUAAUGAUGCUGAGAAAGCAAAGAAAGAUCUAGAGCAACAGGAGUACUUUGAUCCGAAAAUAGCAGACGAGGAGCGUGAGAAAGGCAACGAAUUUUUCAAACAGCAGAAGUAUCCUGAAGCAAUUAAGCAGUACACAGAAUCACUGAGAAGAAAUCCAAAGGAUCACAAGGCUUACAGUAACAGAGCAGCUUGCUAUACAAAACUUGGCGCACUGCCUGAGGGAUUGAAGGAUGCAGAAAAGUGUAUUGAGCUUGAUCCCACAUUUGCCAAGGGAUAUACCAGAAAAGGUGCUGCACAGUUUCUCAUGAAAGAUUAUGAUAAAGCUUUGGAAACAUAUCAAGCAGGGUUGAAACACGAUCCACACAACCAAGAAUUGUUGGAUGGUGUUAAGAGGUGUGUCGCUCAAAUUAAUAAGGCCAGCCGCGGUGAUUUAACUCCUGAGGAAUUGAAGGAGCGGCAGUGAGUCACCAAAUUGGGCUUGAUAUAUCAAGUUGGUCACCGAACUCAAAACGGUCUCAAAUUGGUCACUCAAGUUAGUUAUAUGUAUCUGUAAAUAUGAAUUCAAAGAGUAAAGAUAUUAUUUAUAGAGGUUUAAAUAUUAUUUUUGAAUGUUACCACAACUAAAUACAAGAUUAUGACUUCUCGUAUUUAUGAAAAUAUAUUUAGAUUUUAUCAAGUUUAUUUACUAUUUAUUUUUUAUUAUAUAGUUAUUUUCUUUAUUUUAAUUAUAAAUAUAUAAUAAAUAAACUUGAUAAAUCUGAAUAUAUUACCAUAAAUAUCAGAAGUCAUGAUCUUAUAUUUAGUUCUGGUAACAUUCAAAAAUAAUAUGUAAACCUCUAUAAAUAAUAUAUUUACCCCUUCAACUUAUAUUUACAGAUACAUAUAACUUGACUUGAGUGAUCAAUUUGACACUGUUUUGAGUUCAGUGACCAACUUGAUAUUUUGAGCCCACUCUAGUGACUCACUUGAUUAUUAACCCUUUAAAAAUUUGUGCAGGCCAAGGCAAUGCAAGACCCAGAGAUUCAAAACAUUCUCCAAGACCCAGUUAUGGGACAGGUAUUGACAGACUUGCAAGAGAAUCCCAAAGCAUCACAGGAGCACAUGAAGAAUCCACUUGUGAUGAACAAGAUUCAGAAGUUGAUAAGU